UUCCGGCCACAUUACAUUUCAUUAAGCAAGAGGGACAUGGAGCAUGUGGCUUAUUGCAGAUGCAUGGAUCAAACUGCAGACUAAACUCUAAUUUGGUUUACCCGUAUUGUUUGAUGGACGCUAAAAGAUUAUGCGUCGAAAACUGUAGUGAGGGAAUGUCAACUAAUCUUUAUAUGCCAUUUGGCAAGGAAGUUAGUAAAAAGGCCAGGAGCUAAUGGCUAACUUGCUACUUACGACUUAGUUCGAGGAAAUCGGAGGCCAUUACAGCACAACAAUCAUGUGCGGAGACUGCGCACGUGGCCAGCAGCAUGGCCCUCUUGAGUCCACGUUGUACCAUGGAACCCCUUGUGUUCUCUUGAGGGAAUCUUCAAGUUAAUGUGGCCCAAGUCUUGGAGUAGGUGACUGUAAGCCGUUAGUGUGGCUCCUUUCCACGAAGGAACCCUGCAUCAUUCGGUGUUCCCUCAAAGAUGUGGAGAUGCAGUGAUGGAAUAAGUCCAGUGUCCAACGUGGCAUGUGAUGGAAAACGAAUGAUACCAUGGAGAGACUUCAACUACUACAACUCAAUUUAUUGAACAUGAUUAAAUUGUCGAAUAAAGUCACAUUUGUAGUGGAA